CUGGACCGGUGCAAGUCAGCACUUGGGGCGGAGCCCGCUACUUGUUGACCUUCACUGAUGACUGUACGAGGAAGACCUUCGGAUACCUCAUGAAGUCUAAAGAUGAAACGCGGAGAGUACGCCACAUGCUUUCUCGCCGCUAUCUGACGUCAACUACUGCACCGGAGAUGAAGGUGAUGAAGAUGGUAA